rnacentral:rRNA from 1 species
GAUGAACGCUGGCGGCGUGCCUAAUACAUGCAAGUCGAACGAGAGCGGCCGGUGCUUGCACUGGUCAAUCUAGUGGCGAACGGGUGAGUAACACGUGGGUAACCUGCCCAUCAGAGGGGGAUAACAUCCGGAAACGGAUGCUAAAACCGCAUAGGUCUUCGAACCGCAUGGUUUGAAGAGGCAAAGAGGCUCAGGCUUCUGCUGAUGGGUGGACCCGCGUGGCAUUAGCUAGUUGGUGGGGUAACGGCCCACCAAGGCCGUGAUGCAUAGCCGACCUGAGAGGGUGAUCAGCCACACUGGAACUGAGACACGGUCCAAACUCCUACGGGAGGCAGCAGUAGGGAAUCUUCCGCAAUGGACGCAAGUCUGACGGAGCAACGCCGCGUGAGUGAAGAAGGUUUUCGGAUCGUAAAACUCUGUUGUUAGGGAAGAACAAGUGCUAGAGUAACUGUUAGCGUCUUGACGGUAUCUAACCAGAAAGCCACGGCUAACUACGUG